UGACACAACCAUGUCACCCUGCAGCCCAAGACCGGUUACUUACUGAAGCUAAGCAGGGCUGAGCCUGGUCAGUACCUGGAUGGGAGACCACUAGGGAACAGUAGGUUGCUGUUGGAA
rnacentral:rRNA from 1 species